rnacentral:rRNA from 1 species
GGUUAAGCGACUAAGCGUACACGGUGGAUGCCCUGGCAGUCAGAGGCGAUGAAGGACGUGCUAAUCUGCGAUAAGCGUCGGUAAGGUGAUAUGAACCGUUAUAACCGGCGAUUUCCGAAUGGGGAAACCCAGUGUGUUUCGAUACACUAUCAUUAACUGAAUCCAUAGGUUAAUGAGGCGAACCGGGGGAACUGAAACAUCUAAGUACCCCGAGGAAAAGAAAUCAACCGAGAUUCCCCCAGUAGCGGCGAGCGAACGGGGAGCAGCCCAGAGCCUGAAUCAGUGUGUGUGUUAGUGGAAGCGUCUGGAAAGGCGCGCGAUACAGGGUGACAGCCCCGUACACAAAAAUGCACAUGCUGUGAGCUCGAUGAGUAGGGCGGGACACGUGGUAUCCUGUCUGAAUAUGGGGGGACCAUCCUCCAAGGCUAAAUACUCCUGACUGACCGAUAGUGAACCAGUACCGUGAGGGAAAGGCGAAAAGAACCCCGGCGAGGGGAGUGAAAAAGAACCUGAAACCGUGUACGUACAAGCAGUGGGAGCACGCUUAGGCGUGUGACUGCGUACCUUUUGUAUAAUGGGUCAGCGACUUAUAUUCUGUAGCAAGGUUAACCGAAUAGGGGAGCCGAAGGGAAACCGAGUCUUAACUGGGCGUUAAGUUGCAGGGUAUAGACCCGAAACCCGGUGAUCUAGCCAUGGGCAGGUUGAAGGUUGGGUAACACUAACUGGAGGACCGAACCGACUAAUGUUGAAAAAUUAGCGGAUGACUUGUGGCUGGGGGUGAAAGGCCAAUCAAACCGGGAGAUAGCUGGUUCUCCCCGAAAGCUAUUUAGGUAGCGCCUCGUGAAUUCAUCUCCGGGGGUAGAGCACUGUUUCGGCAAGGGGGUCAUCCCGACUUACCAACCCGAUGCAAACUGCGAAUACCGGAGAAUGUUAUCACGGGAGACACACGGCGGGUGCUAACGUCCGUCGUGAAGAGGGAAACAACCCAGACCGCCAGCUAAGGUCCCAAAGUCAUGGUUAAGUGGGAAACGAUGUGGGAAGGCCCAGACAGCCAGGAUGUUGGCUUAGAAGCAGCCAUCAUUUAAAGAAAGCGUAAUAGCUCACUGGUCGAGUCGGCCUGCGCGGAAGAUGUAACGGGGCUAAACCAUGCACCGAAGCUGCGGCAGCGACGCUUAUGCGUUGUUGGGUAGGGGAGCGUUCUGUAAGCCUGCGAAGGUGUACUGUGAGGUAUGCUGGAGGUAUCAGAAGUGCGAAUGCUGACAUAAGUAACGAUAAAGCGGGUGAAAAGCCCGCUCGCCGGAAGACCAAGGGUUCCUGUCCAACGUUAAUCGGGGCAGGGUGAGUCGACCCCUAAGGCGAGGCCGAAAGGCGUAGUCGAUGGGAAACAGGUUAAUAUUCCUGUACUUGGUGUUACUGCGAAGGGGGGACGGAGAAGGCUAUGUUGGCCGGGCGACGGUUGUCCCGGUUUAAGCGUGUAGGCUGGUUUUCCAGGCAAAUCCGGAAAAUCAAGGCUGAGGCGUGAUGACGAGGCACUACGGUGCUGAAGCAACAAAUGCCCUGCUUCCAGGAAAAGCCUCUAAGCAUCAGGUAACAUCAAAUCGUACCCCAAACCGACACAGGUGGUCAGGUAGAGAAUACCAAGGCGCUUGAGAGAACUCGGGUGAAGGAACUAGGCAAAAUGGUGCCGUAACUUCGGGAGAAGGCACGCUGAUACGUAGGUGAAGUCCCUCGCGGAUGGAGCUGAAAUCAGUCGAAGAUACCAGCUGGCUGCAACUGUUUAUUAAAAACACAGCACUGUGCAAACACGAAAGUGGACGUAUACGGUGUGACGCCUGCCCGGUGCCGGAAGGUUAAUUGAUGGGGUCAGCGCAAGCGAAGCUCUUGAUCGAAGCCCCGGUAAACGGCGGCCGUAACUAUAACGGUCCUAAGGUAGCGAAAUUCCUUGUCGGGUAAGUUCCGACCUGCACGAAUGGCGUAAUGAUGGCCAGGCUGUCUCCACCCGAGACUCAGUGAAAUUGAACUCGCUGUGAAGAUGCAGUGUACCCGCGGCAAGACGGAAAGACCCCGUGAACCUUUACUAUAGCUUGACACUGAACAUUGAGCCUUGAUGUGUAGGAUAGGUGGGAGGCUUUGAAGUGUGGACGCCAGUCUGCAUGGAGCCGACCUUGAAAUACCACCCUUUAAUGUUUGAUGUUCUAACGUGGACCCGUAAUCCGGGUUGCGGACAGUGUCUGGUGGGUAGUUUGACUGGGGCGGUCUCCUCCUAAAGAGUAACGGAGGAGCACGAAGGUUGGCUAAUCCUGGUCGGACAUCAGGAGGUUAGUGCAAUGGCAUAAGCCAGCUUGACUGCGAGCGUGACGGCGCGAGCAGGUGCGAAAGCAGGUCAUAGUGAUCCGGUGGUUCUGAAUGGAAGGGCCAUCGCUCAACGGAUAAAAGGUACUCCGGGGAUAACAGGCUGAUACCGCCCAAGAGUUCAUAUCGACGGCGGUGUUUGGCACCUCGAUGUCGGCUCAUCACAUCCUGGGGCUGAAGUAGGUCCCAAGGGUAUGGCUGUUCGCCAUUUAAAGUGGUACGCGAGCUGGGUUUAGAACGUCGUGAGACAGUUCGGUCCCUAUCUGCCGUGGGCGCUGGAGAACUGAGGGGGGCUGCUCCUAGUACGAGAGGACCGGAGUGGACGCAUCACUGGUGUUCGGGUUGUCAUGCCAAUGGCACUGCCCGGUAGCUAAAUGCGGAAGAGAUAAGUGCUGAAAGCAUCUAAGCACGAAACUUGCCCCGAGAUGAGUUCUCCCUGACCCUUUAAGGGUCCUGAAGGAACGUUGAAGACGACGACGUUGAUAGGCCGGGUGUGUAAGCGCAGCGAUGCGUUGAGCUAACCGGUACUAAUGAACCGUGAGGCUUAACCUU